AGUGAACGCUGGCGGUAGGCCUAACACAUGCAAGUCGAACGGCAGCACAGUAAGAGCUUGCUCUUACGGGUGGCGAGUGGCGGACGGGUGAGGAAUACAUCGGAAUCUACUUUUUCGUGGGGGAUAACGUAGGGAAACUUACGCUAAUACUGCAUACGACCUACGGGUGAAAGCAGGGGAUCUUCGGACCUUGCGCGAUUGAAUGAGCCGAUGUCGGAUUAGCUAGUUGGCGGGGUAAAGGCCCACCAAGGCGACGAUCCGUAGCUGGUCUGAGAGGAUGAUCAGCCACACUGGAACUGAGACACGGUCCAGACUCCUACGGGAGGCAGCAGUGGGGAAUAUUGGACAAUGGGCGCAAGCCUGAUCCAGCCAUACCGCGUGGGUGAAGAAGGCCUUCGGGUUGUAAAGCCCUUUUGUUGGGAAAGAAAAGCAGCAGGUUAAUACCCCGCUGCUCUGACGGUACCCAAAGAAUAAGCACCGGCUAACUUCGUG
rnacentral:rRNA from 1 species